rnacentral:misc_RNA from 1 species
UGUAUUCCCGGGAACUUUAUUAGAAGGUCAAGGUCGCAAACACCAAGCAACAAAACAAUAAACUGGCAGAAAUUAUUUCAUUAUUUCAACAUAUUUAGAUGAAGAAUACCACAUAACAGUAUAGAAAAUACAAUGCCAUAAAGACCAAUCAACAUGGGAUGUGGUUCUUCUGCUGUCGCUUCUGGUACUACCCUUACAAACUCAAGGGGACAAAUAGAACAGACAUGGGAUGCAGUUUUUACAACUCUUGAAGUGAAGGAUAAAGACACCAAUCCAUAUAAGAAUUUAGUGGUCAAGAGAUCGGGAUGGAAGACUAUACGAAUAUUCGUAUCUUCAACUUUUAGGGAUUUCCAUCAAGAGAGGGAGGUGCUGGUGAAAAAGGUGUUUCCAGAUUUGAGAGUAUGGUGUCAGAGUAGACGUCUUCAUUUGGUGGAGUGUGACCUCAGAUGGGGUGUUCCAAAAGAUUCUACGACAGAGUCCACAUUGAGAACAUGUCUGGGAGAGAUAGAUCGGUGUUACCAAGAUAAUAUUAUGCCAUUCUUUGUCAACAUGACAAGUGAGAGGAUAGGCUGGAUCCCCAGAGGACCUGACAUUCCAGAGGGUCUCAAGGCACAGUAUAAGUGGAUAGAUGGUCUAUCAGUCACUGAGAUGGAAAUCAUGCAUGCAGCUUACAGGAAAGAAAAUCCAAACUCCAUUUUUAUGUUGAGGGACCCAAGUUUUCUCGAGGGUGUUCCAGAAUCUCACAGAACAGCUUUUGUAGAUGACCAGGAGCUUGCGCCAGAGAAACUCAAGAUGUUGAAAAAGAUGAUAUUUGAUAGGUUUACUGCUGAAAGAGUGAAGACAUACCAAGUCAAAUAUGAAGGCUAUGAUGAGGAAAUAAAAAAGGUUGCACUCAGUGGCUUAGAUGGUACAUUCAGUCAGACAGUAUUUGAGUUUUUCAAGAGGCGUAUUGAACAGCAAUAUCCAUUGAUGGACAAAGAAUCUGAAGAUCCAUUUGAGAGGAUAAGACAGAAGCAUGAAGCCUUCAUGAAGAGUAAUGCUGCUGUCGUAAUAGGAAGAGAUGAUGUUCUUGAAAAGGUAGAUGAGCACAUUUGUGGUCCAGGUGUGGAUAAACCUCUCCUCUUGAUAGGUGGUGCUGGGAGCGGUAAAUCAUCUGUGAUGUCACGACUUGCAGAUGUGACAUCACAGAAAGCUGCAAGCAAGCAAAUUCCUGGGGGCGGAGAUAAAGGCUGGCAUGUGUUCUACCACUUUGUGGGUGCUGUACCUGGCUCUACAGAACUAGA